ACAGGAUCGACUCUACCUUUUCGAUGUCCAUGAACAACAACUUCCUCACCAUGAUGCCAGUAAUAGUUAACCUCGGGAUUCAGGUCCAUAGAGGAGGCAGCCAACAGCGGGUUGCGUUUGCACAGAAAGGCGGCAAGGGAGGAAACAAGCUGUGUGAGGAAAGGCGCGGGUGUGUGAUCCUGGUCACGGUAGAGGAACGGCCGCUUCUUGUUCUGGUAGUAGCUCUCCUGCAGGAGCGCGUCGCACGCGAGGUCACGCAGCGCGCCCAGGUCCAGCUCUGCCGCCGCUUCGGCCGGGGGCUCCGUCGCUGCUGCGGCCCCCGGUGCCGCCGCUCCCGGCUCUACAGUCUCCGCAGCCCCCGAUGCCGCAGCCCCCGCCGCUGCCGUUCCCUGCUCUAAGGCCUCCGCGGCCCCCGCCCCAGGCUCCGGUGCCUUCGCGGCGGCCGCUGCAGGCGCUCUGGGCGGCAGUCCUGGCACGAAGACGGUCUUGGUGAAGCUCCGGUACCAGCGGUCGGCGUUGAGGGCGAAGGUUUGCGGGUAAACCAUGUACUUGGGCCGCUGCAGCUUCCCGUACAGCCGCAGCUUUUCCUCGAUAGUGGCAGCCUCGUGCACUUGCUGG
rnacentral:lncRNA from 1 species